UUCCAGACUCCUACGGGAGGCAGCAGUCGGGAAUAUUGCGCAAUGGAGGAAACUCUGACGCAGUGACGCCGCGUGCAGGAAGAAGGUUUUCGGAUUGUAAACUGCUUUAGACAGGGAAGAUACAAGACAGUACCUGUAAAAUAAGCUCCGGCUAACUACGUGCCAGCAGCCGCGGUAAUACGUAGGGAGCAAGCGUUAUCCGGAUUUAUUGGGUGUAAAGGGUGCGUAGACGGGAAGGCAAGUUAGUUGUGAAAUCCCUCGGCUUAACUGAGGAACUGCAACUAAAACUAUCUUUCUUGGGUGCUGGAGAGGAAAGUGGAAUUCCUAGUGUAGCGGUGAAAUGCGUAGAUAUUAGGAGGAACACCAGUGGCGAAGGCGACUUUCUGGACUGUACCUGACGCUGAGGCGCGAAAGCGUGGGUAGCGAACGGGAUUAGAUACCCCCGUAAUA
rnacentral:rRNA from 1 species